GGUAGUAUUCUAAUUAAUAAUAAAUUUCAUCUUGUAAAAUACAUAAAACGUUUGAUAUGGGAAAAUAACUUUAUUGACAUCCUGGAGAAAAAUAGCGUAUAUCUUAAUGAGAAAAAUGGCAGGACCAAAACUUUUUCCCGUGUUUGCGAUAUGAUCUGUGUUGGUGACUGUUAAUUGUCGCGAUUUGGGGUUAUGUUACGAGGGGAAAAAACGUAAAUAGCGGAAUUGAUUGUUACAUAUUUUACCUGUAGUAGGCCUACUAAGUGUACAUCAGGCAUGUUCCAUUAUUAUGGUUUUUAAAUUAGGCUUCUGUGCUCAUUGAAUGUAACUAUCUUAAGUACCUGACGUUCAUAUUACUUAAAUUAACUCAUGAGUAGUGUUAAAGUAGGUUUUUUUUUAAAAUUUUUUUAGGUCAUAUUAACUAGCAUUGCAUGCCCAUAUUUCAUCAACAAAAUGUGUGAUAAGGAAGAAGUUGAAAAGACUGGAAAAGGAAUUGAUGAUAUCUUUCUAGGAGAGAUAAUCUGGCGAUGGCUCGGCGACGGGAUCCGGCGUCGUGAACAGCGGGUUGGGGAACUCCGGAGGAUGGGGCAGAGGCCCCGUGGUCU